GCGUCGGUUGUCUAGCGGUUAUGAUGCGAGGUUGCCAAUCUCGCGGCCCGGGUUCAAUUCCCGGCCGACGCA
rnacentral:tRNA from 1 species